GAUUCAUACAGCUUGAAAACGUUUGUUGGUCUCGGGGGGGCCGGGCAAAGCCCCCUGCGCCAGCUGGUGGGGCCGCGAAGCAACAUGUACGUGUCACGGGGGGUGGCCAGAGGACCAUCACUCGUAAGCUCCUUUCGGGAACCUCAGAAGGGUGAUUACCGAGUCAGGGUCCUCACGCCGAACCUCCCACCCGAACUAAUGUACCUUCUGUAUUUGAACGUGCGGCCAGCUCAUUAGGGUGCCGGAGUACUUCUGCCCCCGGGCCCGCGCCCGCCGGAGACCCCAACACGAACACUGUUUCCGAAAGCCUGUAUGAAUAAGAUUCUUAGUAAUCAGUUAACUUCUCAACAAUGGAUCUCUUGGUUCCGGCAUAGAAGAAGAACGCAGCGAAAUGCGAUAACUAAUGAGAAUUGCAGAAUUCAGUGAAUCAUAGUGUUUAAGAACGCACACUGCGCCCCUUGGUAUUCUGGGGGGCAUGCAGAACGCAGCGUCAUUACUGCCCUCAAGCCAAGCUUGUAUGGGGUCCUUGUCCCCCCGGGGACGGGCCGGAAAGGCAGCGUGGCACCGAGUCCGGUCGUCGAGCGUAUGGGGUUUGUCACCCGCUCAGUAGGCCCGGCCGGCGCCAGCCCA
rnacentral:rRNA from 1 species